AAUGUAUUUUUUUAUAGAAGGAAGGAAUCAUUGACAAGGUGUACAAGGUGUUGGAAUUAAAUAAAAAAGAUUUGUCCAGCCCCUCUUAUGCUAUGGAAGUCAUGACCCCUGAGAUAACCAUUCUAAUACUGAAAAAGACAGAGGGGUUCCACAGAUAUCAAGCUGAAAACACCUUUUUGGAACAUUCCAGAUUUUUAAGAUAGUGUAACAAUUUGAAAUGUUUCUUUGGCCAGUCGACAGAACCACAAAUCUUUUCAAGGCGAGGCUAAAAACUUUUUGGGAAUUAGCGAUACAUUCACAGAGUGCUUAUGUCCGAUGAUCUCAGUUUGAUUCUGGAUGUGCCAGUGGGGAUUGUGAUAGCUGAAGAUUGGACAACUCUUUAACCCCUCAACUCUCUGAUUAGGUUAAUUAGAAUAGAAAUUGAGAUUGUGAUAGCACUUAGAGAUGUGUGUUAGACAUUAUAUAUUAUAUAAUGACAAUAUAUCCAACAUUAAAGUUAAUUUAAUUAAUAAACACAA